rfam:Enterovibrio nigricans DSM 22720 genome assembly, contig: BP91DRAFT_scaffold00010.10
UAUGCACGUAGAGGUGCAUUGUUUAUCAGUAUUUCGUCUUAGGGUGAUGCCUAAGAGGGCGAAGGAAAGGAAACAAUGCCGAAGCAGACAUUUGAUUAUCGGUCUAUUCUGCUGGGGUUGUAACCGAAGAGGUACAACACUGCCAUAGUAUUGGGAUUUAACUAUGGAGCGCUACUGUAGGG